GCUCAAAUUUAAAAUCUCCCUGAUUUCGUACCAGGGCGAAUUGUAAAUUCAAGGUAACGUUUUCUGAGGCAACUUGGGUCCAAGUCUGUUGGAACGCAGCGCCAUAGAGGGUGAGAGCCCCGUACGGCCCUAUGUUGUCUCUAUAUGAUACGUUUCCGACGAGUCGCGUAGUUUUAGAAUGCUGCGCUAAUUGGGUGAUAAAUAUCAUCUAAAGCUAAAUACUGGCGAGUAACCGAUAGCGAACAAGUACCGUGAGGGAAAGAUCAAAAGCACUUUGAAAAGAGAGUGAAAAGUACGUGAAAUUGUCUGUAGGGAAACGUUUGGCACCAGUAUCGGGUGCGUGUCAUCAGCCGCAAGGUGCAUUGGCAUGUGCCUGGGUCAGCGACACUUUGGUUUGGAGUAAAAAGACUUGUGGAAGGUAGCCCCUCGGGGUGUUAUAGCUGCUUGUCUAUGCUCUGGGCUGGAGUGAGGACUGCAACCGCCUUGGGUAAGGCGCCGCUCCGACUCGACCGUUUGUAGACAACUUGUUGACUAUGGAUGACUCGUUAGGAAUCGGUGUUGGAUCCACUAACGGUUUUGGUUGCUGGCGAAAUGGUUCUAAGCGACCCGUCUUGAAACACGGACCAAGGAGUCCAACACAUACGCGAGUGUUUGGGUGUCAAACCCGAAUGCGCAAUGAAAGUAAAUGUAGGUGGGAUCCGCAAGGUGCACCAUCGACCGGUCUGGAAGUUUACUGAAAGAUCUGAGUAUGAGCGUAUUUGUUGGGACCCGAACAGAUGGUGACCUAUACCUGAAUAGGGUGAAGUCAGAGGAAACUGCUGAUGGAAGCUCGUAGCGGUUACUGACGUGCAAAUCGAUCGUCAAAUUUGGGU
rnacentral:rRNA from 1 species